rnacentral:tRNA from 1 species
AUUAAGGUAGCAUAACUAGGCCAUGCAACAGGCUUAAAACCUCAACAUAGAUGUUCAAAUCAUCUCCUUAAUA